rnacentral:lncRNA from 1 species
AACGGGUGGGCUAUAGCCUUGGUGGGGGGCGCGGGCGAAGUUCGUCCGCCGGACUCGGAAUGGGGCGAGACUUUGCGAGGGGCCUCGGGGUGCCAAAAAUAAGCCGCGGGCAAGGCCGCGCCCAAAAAUAAGCGCCCGAAGGUCGUGGUGCCAAAACCCCCCAGCGGAAAUUGCCAAAAACGGGUGGGCUAUAGCCUUGGUGGGGGGUGCGGGCGAAGUUCGUCCGCCGGACUCGGAAUGGGGCGAGACUUUGCGAGGGGCCUCGGGGUGCCCGCGGGAAGUCGCGGGCACAGCCGUGCCCAAAAAUAAGCGCCCGAAGGUCGUGGUGCCAAAACCCCCCAGCGGAAAAAUGGCCAAAAAACGGGUGGGCUAUAGCCCUGGUGGGGGGCGCGGGCGAUGUUCGUCCGCCGGACUCGGAAUGGGGCGAGACUUUGCGAGGGGCCUCGGGGCACCAAAAAUAAGCCGCGGGCAAAGCCGUGCCCAAAAAUAAGCACCCGAAGGUCGUGGUCCCAAAACCCCCCAGCGGAAAAAUGGCCAAAAAACGGGUGGGCUAUAGCCUUGGUGGGGGGCGCGGGUGAAGUUCGUCCGCCGGACUCGGAAUGGGGCGAGACUUUGCUCGGGGCCUCGGGGCACCAAAAAUAAACCGCGAGCAAAGCCGCGCCCAAAAAUAAGCGCCCGAAGGUCGUGGUGCCAAAACCCCCCAGCGGAAAAAUGGCCAAAAAACGGGUGGGCUAUAGCCUUGGUGGGGGGCGCGGGCGAAGUUCGUCCGCCGGACUCGGAAUGGGGCGAGACUUUGCGAGGGGCCUCGGGGCACCAAAAAUAAGCCGCGGGCAAAGCCGUGCCCAAAAAUAAGCGCCCGAAGGUCGUGGUCCCAAAACCCCCCAGCGGAAAAAUGGCCAAAAAACGGGUGGGCUAUAGCCUUGGUGGGGGGCGCGGGUGAAAUUCGUCCGCCGGACUCGGAAUGGGGCGAGACUUUGCUCGGGGCCUCGGGGCGUCAAAAAUAACCCGCGGGCAAAGCCGCGCCCAAAAAUAAGCGCCCGAAGGUCGUGGUACCAAACCCCCCCAGCAGAAUAAUGGCCCAAAAACGGGUGGGCUAUAGCCUUGGUGGGGGGCGCGGGCGAAGUUCGUCCGCCGGACUCGGAAUGGGGCGAGACUUUGCGAGGGGCCUCGGGGUGCCCGCGGGAAGUCGCGGGCACAGCCGCGUCCAAAAAUAAGCGCCCGAAGGUCGUGGUGCCAAAACCCCCCAGCGGAAAAAUGGCCAAAAAACGGGUGGGCUAUAGCCUUGGUGGGGGGCGCGGGCGAAGUUCGUCCGCCGGACUCGGAAUGGGGCGAGACUUUGCGAGGGGCCUCGGGGUGCCCGCGGGAAGCCGCGGGCACGGCCGCGUCCAAAAAUAAGCGCCCGAAGGUCGUGGUGCCAAAACCCCCCAGCGGAAAAAUGGCCAAAAAACGGGUGGGCUAUAGCCUUGGUGGGGGGCGCGGGCGAAGUUCGUCCGCCGGACUCGGAAUGGGGCGAGACUUUGCGAGGGGCCUCGGGGCACCAAAAAUAAGCCGCGGGCAAAGCCGCGUCCAGAAAUAAGCGCCCGAAGGUCGUGGUGCCAAAACCCCCCAGCGGAAAAAAGGCCAAAAAACGGGUGGGCUAUAGCCUUGGUGGGGGGCGCGGGCGAAGUUCGUCCGCCGGACUCGGAAUGGGGCGAGACUUUGCGAGGGGGCUCGGGGAGCCCGCAGGAAGUCGCGGGCACAGCCGCGUCCAGAAAUAAGCGCCCGAAGGUCGUGGUGCCAAAACCCCCCAGCGGAAAAAUGGCCAAAAAACGGGUGGGCUAUAGCCUUGGUGGGGGGCGCGGGCGAAGUUCGUCCGCCGGACUCGGAAUGGGACGAGACUUUGCGAGGGGCCUCGGGGCACCAAAAAUAAGCCGCGGGCAAAGCCGCGCCCAAAAAUAAGCGCCCGAAGGUCGUGGUGCCAAAACCCCCCGGCGGAAAAAUGGCCAAAAAACGGGUGGGCUAUAGCCUUGGUGGGGGGGGCGGGCGAAGUUCGUCCGACGGACUCGGAAUGGGGCGAGACCUUGCGCGGGGCCUCGGGGCGCCAAAAAUAAGCCGCGGGCAAAGCCGCGCCCAAAAAUAAGCGCCCGAAGGUCGUGGUGCCAAAACCCCCCAUCGGAAAAAUGGCCAAAAAACGGGUGGGCUAUAGCCUUGGUGGGGGGCGCGGGCGAAGUUCGUCCGCCGGACUCGGAAUGGGGCGAGACUUUGCGAGGGGCCUCGGGGUGCCAAAAAUAAGCCGCGGGCAAAGCCGCGCCCAAAAAUAAUCGCCCAAAGGUCGUGGUGCCAAAACCCCCCAGCGGAAAAAUGGCCAAAAAACGGGUGGGCUAUAGCCUUGGUGGCGGGCGCUGGCGAAGUUCGUCCGCCGGACUCGGAAUGGGGCGAGACUUUGCGCGGGGCCUCGGGGCGCCAAAAAUAAGCCGCGGGCAAAGCUGCGAUCAAAAAUAAGCGCCCGAAGGUCGUGGUGCCAAAACCCCCCAGCGGAAAAAUGGCCAAAAAACGGGUGGGCUAUAGCCUUGGUGGGGGGCGCGGGCGAAGUUCGUCUGCCGGACUCGGAAUGGGACGAGACUUUGCGCGGGGACUCGGGGCGCCAAAAAUAAGCCGCGGGCAAAGCCGCGCCUAAAAAUAAGCGCCCGAAGGUCGUGGUGCCAAAACCCCCCAGCGGAAAAAUGGCCAAAAAACGGGUGGGCUAUAUCCUUGGUGGGGGGCGCGGGCGAAGUUCGUCCGCCGGACUCGGAAUGGGGCGAGACUUUGGGAGGGGCCCCGGGGCACCAAAAAUAAGCCGCGGGCAAAGCCGCGCCCAAAAAUAAGCACCCGAAGGUCUUGGUGCCAAAACCCCCCAGCGGAAAAAAGGCCAAAAAACGGGUGGGCUAUAGCCUUGGUGGGGGGUGCGGGCGAAGUUCGUCCGCCGGACUUGGAAUGGGGCGAGACUUUGCGAGGGGCCUCAGGGUGCCCGCGGGAAGUCGCGGGCACAGCCGCGUCCAGAAAUAAGCGCCCGAAGGUCGUGGUGCCAAAACCCCCCAGCGGAAAAAUGGCCAAAAAACGGGUGGGCUAUAGCCUUGGUGGGGGGCGCGGGCGAAGUUCGUCCGCCGGACUCGGAAUGGGGCGAGACUUUGCGAGGGGCCUCGGGGUGCCCGCGGGAAGUCGCGGGGACAGCCGCGUCCAAAAAUAAGAGCCCGAAGGUCGUGCGGCCAAAACCCCCCAGCGGAAAAAUGGCCAAAAAACGGGUGGGCUAUAGCCUUGGUGGGGGGCGCGGGCGAAGUUCGUCCGCCGGACUCGGAAUGGGGCGAGACUUUGCGAGGGGCCUCGGGGUGCCCGCGGGAAGUCGCGGGCACAGCCGCGUCCAGAAAUAAGUGCCCGAAGGUCGUGGUGCCAAAACCCCCCAGCGGAAAAAUGGCCAAAAAACGGGUGGGCUAUAGCCUUGGUGGGGGGCGCGGGCGAAGUUCGUCCGCCGGACUCGGAAUGGGGCGAGACUUUGCGAGGGGCCUCGGGGUGCCCGCAGGAAGUCGCGGGCUCAGCCGCGUCCAGAAAUAAGCGCCCGAAGGUCGUGGUGCCAAAACCCCCCAGCGGAAAAAUGGCCAAAAAACGGGUGGGCUAUAGCCUUGGUGGGGGGCGCGGGCGAAGUUCGUCCGCCGGACUCGGAAUGGGAUGAGACUUUGCGAGGGGCCUCGGGGCACCAAAAAUAAGCCGCGGGAAAAGCCGCGCCCCAAAAUAAGCGCCCGAAGGUCGUGGUGCCAAAACCCCCCAGCGGAAAAAUGGCCAAAAAACGGGUGGGCUAUAGCCUUGGUGGGGGGCGCGGGCGAAGUUCGUCCGCCGGACUCGGAAUGGGGCGAGACUUUGCGAGGGGCCUCGGGGUGCCCGCGGGAAAUCGCGGGCACAGCCGCGUCCAGAAAUAAGCGCCCGAAGGUCGUUUUGCCAAAAAACCCGACAGCGGAAAAAUGGCCAAAAAACGGGUGGGCUAUAGCCUUGGUGGGGGGCGCGGGCGAAGUUCGUCCGCCGGACUCGGAAUGGGGCGAGACUUUGCGAGGGGCCUCGGGGUGCCCGCGGGAAGUCGCGGGCACAGCCGCGCCCAAAAAUAAGCGCCCGAAGGUCGUGGUGCCAAAACCCCCCAGCGGAAAAAUGGCCAAAAAACGGGUGGGCUAUAGCCCUGGUGGGGGGCGCGGGCGAAGUUCGUCCGCCGGACUCGGAAUGGGGCGAGACUUUGCGAGGGGCCUCGGGGUGCCCGCGGGAAGUCGCGGGCACAGCCGCGUCCAAAAAUAAGCGCCCGAAGGUCGUGGUGCCAAAACCCCCCAGCGGAAAAAAUGGCCAAAAAACGGGUGGGCUAUAGCCUUGGUGGGGGGCGCGGGCGAAGUUCGUCCGCCGGACUCGGAAUGGGGCGAGAC